rnacentral:lncRNA from 1 species
UCGCAAGUCUCGACAUGGAGUCCCAUCCAUUGGUGUUGGACCUCGAUGCUCACACCGAACCGAUCAUGCUCGAUGAUCUCUUUGCUUAAGUGAUAAUUUUGAUCAGCAAGUGGCACUGUUUCAUGGAACCGGCAACAACGCCGACUUCAAAUCCUCUGCAAACGCUGCCGUACGUGGUGGUCAUGGUGGUCAUGGUCACCGCGGUCCACCGUGCAGCAAGCCCAUUAUAUUCUACCUCCUGGAUACUCAUUGUUUUUAUUUUCUUAUAAACAUUUUUUGUGGCGUCGCUCAGGAGCCCGACUAUGGCAUGCAUGUUAGUAUUUUUUUCCUUAUGAGCCCUUUACGUGAUGUCGCUUCAGACAUCCGACUGUGGCAAUUAUUAUUCUUGUAUUUUUCUUCCAAGCCCUUUUCGUGGUGUCGCUUCAAACGCACGACUAUGGCAACUCUUAUUAUUUUUCUGUAAGCCCUUUUAUGUGACGUUGCUCUGACGCACGACCGAGGCAUGUUUUGUAUUUUUAUCUUUUUAAGGCGUCGCUUUAGACACCCAAUCAGACUAUUUUAUUUUUUAGCAACUUUUGGAAGGACUACCGUCCGAUGCUCCAUUUUUGUUUUUAUCCUCAUUCCCUAAUUGCUUAUUUAUUAUCACUAUGGAUAAAUUACUUGCUUACCUACAUUUAUGAAUUUAUCUUAUAACGGAUUGAAUAUCCGUAAAUAAAUUUCAGUGCAUACAAAUCACCUGCUAUAUUAUGU